rnacentral:rRNA from 1 species
GGGCCCGCACAAGCGGUGGAGCAUGUGGUUUAAUUCGAUGAUACGCGAGGAACCUUACCAGGGCUUAAAUGUAGUAUGACCGGUCUAGAAAUAGGCCUUCCCUUCGGGCAGAUUACAAGGUGCUGCAUGGUUGUCGUCAGCUCGUGCCGUGAGGUGUUAGGUUAAGUCCUGCAACGAGCGCAACCCCUAUUCUUAGUUGCCAGCGGUUCGGCCGGGGACUCUAAGAAGACUGCCAGCGCAAGCUGUGAGGAAGGUGGGGAUGACGUCAAAUCAUCACGGCCCUUACGUCCUGGGCUACACACGUGCUACAAUGGCCGGUACAGAGAGCAGCCACUUCGCAAGAAGGAGCG